rnacentral:misc_RNA from 1 species
ACAUUUAUUUUGUAAAAAAGGAAUGGAAAAGCGUAAUCUGAGCUCCCGACUGUAGAGGAGUAAAUAUAAACAAAAGCGCCAUUCCUGAUUCUGAACAAAGUUAUCAUAACGUGUAAUCAUUACUUAGUGUUUAUCAUUUGUAAAGAUGCUGUGUAACAAGCCUUGACAUUCUGACUGUGUGACGUGUACAUUUGUGUCAUGACGUAAUGUUUCCAUGGAUACCGCUCCGCGUGCAUUUUUUAUUAAUAAUUUUUUACGACAUCCGGCGGACGGAGUGAAUUUAACCUUUCUAAAUUGUUUUAAGUUUUCUGAUAGUCGUAAUUCUAUUGUUCAGAGGGAGAAUGACAACAACUUUUUAUUCAUGUACUCUUAUUUAAGUUCGUAAUCUUUCAUUGUUUAAUUAUUGCGUAGCUUGUCUAAUAAAUGGAACCAAAGAU